AGUGAACGCUGGCGGUAGGCCUAACACAUGCAAGUCGAACGGCAGCACAGGAGAGCUUGCUCUCUGGGUGGCGAGUGGCGGACGGGUGAGGAAUGCAUCGGAAUCUACUCUUUCGUGGGGGAUAACGUAGGGAAACUUACGCUAAUACCGCAUACGACCUACGGGUGAAAGCCGGGGACCUUCGGGCCUGGCGCGAAAGAAUGAGCCGAUGCCCGAUUAGCUAGUUGGCGGGGUAAGAGCCCACCAAGGCGACGAUCGGUAGCUGGUCUGAGAGGAUGAUCAGCCACACUGGAACUGAGACACGGUCCAGACUCCUACGGGAGGCAGCAGUGGGGAAUAUUGGACAAUGGGCGCAAGCCUGAUCCAGCCAUACCGCGUGGGUGAAGAAGGCCUUCGGGUUGUAAAGCCCUUUUGUUGGGAAAGAAAAGCAGUCGGUUAAUACCCGAUUGUUCUGACGGUACCCAAAGAAUAAGCACCGCUAA
rnacentral:rRNA from 1 species